CCUACGGGUGGCAGCAGUGAGGAAUAUUGCACAAUGGGGGAAACCCUGAUGCAGCGACGCCGCGUGAGUGAAGAAGUAUUUCUGUGUGGAAAGCUCUAUCAGCAGGGGAGAAAAUGACAGUACCUGACCAAGAAGCCCCGGCUAACCACGUGCCAGCAGCCGCGGUAAUACGUAGGGGGCAAGCGUUAUCCGGAUUUAGUGGGUGUAAAGGGAGCGUAGACGGUUAUGUAAGUCUGGAGGGAAAGCCCGGGGCUCAACCCCGGGACUGCUUUGGAAACUGUGUAACUGGAGUACAGGAGGGGCAGGCGGAAUUCCUGGUGUAGCGGUGAAAUGCGUAGAUAGCAGGAGGAACACCGGUGGCGAAGGCGGCUUGCUGGACUGCAACUGACGCUGAGGCUCGAAAGCGUGGGGAGCAAACAGGAUUAGAUACCCUUGUAGUC
rnacentral:rRNA from 1 species